rnacentral:rRNA from 1 species
GACGAACGCUGGCGGCGCGCCUAACACAUGCAAGUCGAACGAGCGAGAGAGAGCUUGCUUUCUCAAGCGAGUGGCGAACGGGUGAGUAACGCGUGAGGAACCUGCCUCAAAGAGGGGGACAACAGUUGGAAACGACUGCUAAUACCGCAUAAGCCCACGACCCGGCAUCGGGUAGAGGGAAAAGGAGCAAUCCGCUUUGAGAUGGCCUCGCGUCCGAUUAGCUAGUUGGUGAGGUAACGGCCCACCAAGGCGACGAUCGGUAGCCGGACUGAGAGGUUGAACGGCCACAUUGGGACUGAGACACGGCCCAGACUCCUACGGGAGGCAGCAGUGGGGAAUAUUGCACAAUGGGGGAAACCCUGACGCAGCGACGCCGCGUGGAGGAAGAAGGUCUUCGGAUUGUAAACUCCUGUUGUUGAGGAAGAUAAUGACGGUACUCAACAAGGAAGUGACGGCUAACUACGUG